ACAGUUUCUUUCGCAGGAUCGGAGGACGGUCAACAGGUGUUAGGAAAGAAGUAAAAUCUUGAGCAAGACAAAAUCAUACGAAAAAGUGUUCACGGCGGUGAGUACGAAGAUGGCUGUCUUCUGGGUUCUUGCGCCGUGUAGGCUGAUAGACGUUUACCGACGUUUCUGAUGUGUUUGCUGCCCUUUCAUCAAGGCGAGGAGUGAGUCGCGGGCGAGGAAUCGGCCAAACGGUUGCUGGGGAUUGAGCACAACACGUUGCUGGUGUCGACAGAUUAGUCAAAGAGAGCGAUAUCGACCUAAAUAGCGAAGUUGAACGAGCAUCUCACACAAGCCUACCGACUGGACAAUUGCAACUUCUUGGCCUCCAGUUAACUAGAUCUAUAACAUGAAAGUCGAGAGGUGGCACGCCAUAUCAAGUGCAUCUUUAUUGAAAGUAGCUGAGUAAGUAUCCAGUAAACCAAGUGAUUAACUUCAUGCAACAGAGUCCUUUAGAAACGUCCUCAGUCGCUCAGCUAAUUUAAAAAAACCCAGCUUUAAUGGAACCCGUAGGUUCCCUACCGUUUUCGUAAGAGCCCGCCACUAGAUCUUAUCCUUAACAUGUUGAAUUCAGCCAACAACUUCACACUUAAUUUAUUUAUGAUUAAUUUUGAUAUAUCAUUCAAUCUACGUCUAAUUAUCUCAAGUGGUCUCUUCGCUGCAACUCUUCCAAUUAAAAUGGUUUAUUACUCAUUUACCCCAACUAUUAAAACAUAUUUUAAUAUGGGUUGCUUGGCUUCUCAAUCUUCCCGUACAAGUCACAGUCGAGAGGUUCACGGUUUUCAUUUAAGUAAAAUCAGGUGGUUGAUAAUUAUGUUUAUAGUAAGGAAAACUGAACGUUGACAGCUGAUAAUAACACAAGAAUUAUUUAGAGUAACAUGGUUUAAGCCGUGUAGCCUGAUCCGACUCAGUACUUCUAACACCCCGAGCCUUUCUAUUUAUUUACCAAGAGACCUUGGAUAUUGGAUCGUCUCAUUGAAGAACUAUGACCACGACAUACUGCAGAAAACACAGAGAUGAGUUUAUGCCCUGACCUGGAAUCGAAAUCUUUAUCACAGUGCUCCUUGUAACGCCGGGAUCAUGUUUGUCACGCAGCAGCCCUGAGGAUGAGAGCAGAGAUUGUUCUCGAAACGUUGGCAGAAGGUAUGAUUUAUCCAUCAUUCAGCCACUUGACGCGGCGUGUAAUCCGAUUGUCUUUCAUCAAUGAUGUUUUCUUCAUAGCAGAACUAGUCCGAUUCUAACUUUGGAAUCAAGUCACGCAAAACCGGCAUUAAAUGCACGUGGCUUGUGUUUCACGGGGUGACCUGAAUAUUCGGUAACAUUAUUAUGAUUCAAAACAACGUCACAGCAGUAGUUAUACAGGCGUGUAUUGAUUCUUGGUUUAUUCAGCGACUAAUAUCAGGUGUCUAAGGCAUGUAACAUUGAGAGUUAGUAUGACUUAAUGUGAAAAAAGAAGAAGAAUAGAAACAUGGCCUAUUUUAAAGUA